UUUAACAGGCUCUAUAUCAUGCUGAGAGCACCGGUUCUCAUCCGAUCACCGAAGUUAAGCAACGUCGAACCUAGUGAGUACUUAGAUGGGUGACUGCUUGGGAAACCUAGGUGCUGUAAGUG
rnacentral:rRNA from 1 species